rnacentral:snRNA from 1 species
GGCCGAGACACGUAAUCUCCAA